rnacentral:rRNA from 1 species
GACGAACGCUGGCGGCGUGCUUAACACAUGCAAGUCGAACGGAAAGGCCCUGCUUUUGUGGGGUGCUCGAGUGGCGAACGGGUGAGUAACACGUGAGUAACCUGCCCUUGACUUUGGGAUAACUUCAGGAAACUGGGGCUAAUACCGGAUAGGAGCUCCGGCUGCAGGGUGGGGGUGGGAAAGUUUCGGCGGUUGGGGAUGGACUCGCGGCUUAUCAGCUUGUUGGUGGGGUAGUGGCUUACCAAGGCUUUGACGGGUAGCCGGCCUGAGAGGGUGACCGGCCACAUUGGGACUGAGAUACGGCCCAGACUCCUACGGGAGGCAGCAGUGGGGAAUAUUGCACAAUGGGCGGAAGCCUGAUGCAGCAACGCCGCGUGCGGGAUGACGGCCUUCGGGUUGUAAACCGCUUUCGCCUGUGACGAAGCGUGAGUGACGGUAAUGGGUAAAGAAGCACCGGCUAACUACGUG